GGUAACAUGGCCGAGUGGUCUAAGGCGCUGGAAUUAGGUUGGCGAUCGAUCGAUCGAUCGCUUACGUAAUCCAGUCCUCCGGGGCGUGAGUUCGAACCUCACUGUUAUCA